rnacentral:rRNA from 1 species
AACGAACGCUGGCGGCAGGCUUAACACAUGCAAGUCGAACGAGAUCUUCGGAUCUAGUGGCAGACGGGUGAGGAACACGUGGGAACAUCCCUUUCAGUUCGGAAUAACGUUGGGAAACUAACGCUAAUACCGGAUACGUCCUUCGGGAGAAAGAUUUAUCGCUGAAAGAUUGGCCCGCGUCUGAUUAGCUAGUUGGUGAGGUAAUGGCUCACCAAGGCUACGAUCAGUAGCUGAUCUGAGAGGAUGAUCAGCCACAUUGGGACUGAGACACGGCCCAAACUCCUACGGGAGGCAGCAGUGGGGAAUAUUGGACAAUGGGCGCAAGCCUGAUCCAGCCAUGCCGCGUGAGUGAUGACGGCCUUCGGGUUGUGAAGUGCUUUCAGUAGGGAAGAAAAAAAUGACGGUACCUACAGAAGAAGCGACGGCUAAAUAUGUGCCAGCAGCCGCCGUAA